AGAAAAGAAAAUCGUCAACUUUUAAUCUGUGUUAUCCUCUUGAUGAAUAAAUUCAUGUAACUAAAUUUGCAUCAUUGAACAACAUUUUCAUAUGUACUGUUUGUUGACAAUAAGCCUUAUAUUGUGAGACAUAAGUGAAAUCAUUCACCUUAAAACUUCAAGUUACUGUAAAUGUAAAUGAAGGGACUGAAUAAUAUUGAUAUUGAAUAGAUUCAACUGGGGAAUAUUAUGAAUGAGAGUCUCAUUUGGUACAAGGUACACUGGAGCAACAACGGUGGCCGGACCUCUCUUACAACCAGAGGUUAAUUCUAGUGCUGAGCUAAUUUUAGACCUAUGUAAUGGUAAUUUUUAUUUACUGAUAUUUGUUCCAUAUAUGCCAAAACUGAAAUUAAGGGAACAAGUGAUAAAAAUAUUCAGCACAUGGUAUAUCAAUGAAUAACUGCAAAACAACUUCUAUUUUAAUUAUUUAGUGAAAAUAGAUUCCUUUAGAAUAAGCCUUAUUCAUUAUGUUCAAUAGUUACUUGUUUUUAUAAUAAUAUGGUUCACUUUCUCUUUGACAGUUGUGUGGACAAUGAGUCAUAUGAGCCAACAUGUCAAUUUUCCCAAGAAAAUGCCAAGAGCUCAUGAGUCGAGUUUACUCCUUUAGAAAUAAGCAUCAAGGAAUGGAAAGUUUUAGAGAAAAGAAGAUUGUCAAUUUUUAAUUUGUAUUGUGUUAUCCUCUUGAUGAAUAUAUCUUGACCGUUUUUAAUUCAUGUAACUAAACUCGUCAUUAUUAUUGUGUUAUUAAUCACUUUAAGGUUCUCCUUUUCAUUUGUUUCUUUUUCACUUUCUCAGCAAUUUUAUCUGGUAUGUUGACAAGAGUCUUGGUUGGAGCAAAAUUUGCAGAGUUACUUAAGCACAUGUGACAGUACGAGCCCACAUAAAUAGUGCUAAGAACUAGCAUUGGAGAUGCUUUUAUUUAGAACUAAGAACCAAGAGAAGGUAAAAACUUAGUGCUUGUUUAAUUUUCCAUUGCAUUUCCUGCAAUUGUUGAAAUUCCUUUCCACCAUUGGUAUCGAAAAUCAAACACAUCCUUAGGAGUUAUAAUUUCUACAGAAGUGAGCCCCAAGGAGAUUGUGGGAUGCAUUAGGGGAAAAAAACAGAAGUGGCCUCCCCACAUUUAAUUGCAUGUUUGAAAAUUCUUUAACAAUUAAUUCUAAUUUUAGAAUUAAUGAAUUAAUUAUGAUGAGAAACUUUUGUGAAUAGUUUUUGGGUUUGGACAUUUUAGACUUGGUUUUGAGAAAAUAGAAGGUGAUACAAGGCCAUAUAUAAAACUUUACUCAGAAAGUAGGAUUCUAUAAAAUAAAAAGAUUCGGUUUGAAUGUUGUGCACGUUGAAUGACUCAAAUAUUUGAUUUUCCAUACGUGUCUUUUUUGUCUUUUGGGUCACACCUUACAGUGUUAGAGCCACUGUUCAUAAUCAAUUGAAAACAUAAAGAGUUUCAACACAAGCUUGGUUUUCUUUUUCAUUUUUAAUAAAUGGCUAGGCCCUUCUUCAGUUCUUGACCUUUGAACAAAACGAAGAGAAAGGAUGAGCAAUGAGGAAGGAAAGUUGGUGUGUGUGACUGGUGGUUCAGGCUAUAUUGCUUCAUGGAUUGUCAAGUUUCUUUUGGAAAAUGGUUACACUGUUAGAGCCACUGUUCGUGACCCUGGUAAGUGCCUCCCUUUCUGUUAAUUUCUACAUACAUUCAUUUAUAACAUUGUUUGUCUUUUUUGUUUCACUUUUCUUUUGUAUGAAUGACUCUCAUGAUGAUGCUGUAAUAUUGGUGGAAACAUGCAGGUAAUCACUACAACGUUGAGCACUUGGGUAAACUUGAUGGAGCAAAGGAGAGGUUGCAACUGUUUAAGGCAGAUCUGUUGGAAGAAGGUUCCUUUGACUCUGCUAUUGAGGGCUGCAAUGGCGUCUUCCAUAUCGCAUCACCUGUUCGUAUGUUUGUCGAGGACCCCCAGGUGAUUGUUGAGAUGAGUGAGCAAGAUAUUUAUAGGGUCAAGUUAAAAUUUUGUGGCUAUCUCUCUGUUAAUAAAUAUUUAGAGUCCUAAGUAUCAAAUAUUUAUGAAGGGAGCGAUAGACACAAAGUUUACCAUGACCAUGCUGUCACGUGACAUGAGAGGAUGCCUUAUAUAUUAUGCUAUGCAAGUAAUUCUGUUACUGCAUUAACUAACAUCAACAACUAACCAAAAUUAACUAACUAGAUACAUCUUAAAUCACUGUGUACUAGGCAAUGGUAUUAGUAUGAAGACUAUUAAUCUUAAUACAAAAGAGCUUACCUGCUAACCCAUUUGAAGUUCCAUGCCUUGGGUGCCUUAGCAUAAGUGUUCUUUUUAUAUUUCUUUAUCUCAGGCUGAAUUGAUUGAUCCAGCAGUGAAGGGAACUCUUAAUGUUCUGAAAUCAUGCGCAAAAUCACCAUCUGUGAAACGAGUUGUCUUAACUUCUUCUGUUUCUGCAGUUCAAUUUAAUGAAAGGCCUAAAAGUCCAGAAGUAGUGGUUGAUGAGACAUGGUUUUCAGAUCCAGAUUUCUGCAGGGAAUCAAAGGUUUGUGCUAACUUAUUCAGAAAUGAAACACUUGAAGCUCAUGCGGAUGGAAUAUGAUUUUGAUGUAGUUUGCUUAAGCUGGGAUUCUUGGUAAUUGAAUGACAUGUUGCUUCUUGCUUCUCUAAACAUACAUCUAUGUAUCUUAGCAUUGCAUUGGAAAAUAUGAACUGUAUACUUGUGCAUUUGCUAAGUAAUCAUAAUUGUGAGGGAUGUGGAUUCCGUGGGUAGCCAGGUAGGGGAUACUUAUGUUCUGUUAGAUGAUAGAAAGUGUUUAAACUACUUUGAAAGGCAUCACUUUCCCUGAAGAAACAGAGCAGAAAUAAUUUCUUUCCAAUAAUAUGGAAGUAUAUGUCAAACCUAAUUGUUAGAAUCAGGUAAAAGUAAUCCCAGGUGUCCUAGCUCAUUACAAGAAAUAGUCUUGGAGUGUUAUGUUAAUCUAGUCACAUCUCAUCUGGUCCUUUUCUUUUAACCUGAAAGGCUGAAGUAUCCUCACAUUUCAUUUUAUUUUCUGAUGAGAGAGAAAGAGGCAGACAUAUAUUAUUGUUGAAAAUUGUUUCUUCUACCACUUUAUAGUAAGCUAAGCAGCUUUUCUAACUAUGCUAAAACCCUACAGAGAAUGGAAGAAAAUAAAUGCUCAAUACCCAUGACAGAAGUACUGAUAACAGUUAUAGACUUUAGUUAUUGAAAAGGGAUUUGAUGAGGGGAGUGAUGCCUAAUCAACCAAUGUGAAUUGAAAAACUGUUUUAAAGAGAAAUAGAAGUUCCUUUCUUUUGAUAUUCCUUGCUUGUUGCAGAGAUGAGAAUGUUCAGGUAGAUGAGUAGAUAAGUCGUUUGGGUAUGUUGGAGAAGUUCUGUAGAAGGCUCAAUAAGAGGAGACCUAGAAACACUAUAAAUAUAAGUCAAGUCUUAAAGAAGGGCUUAGAAUGGAACUCUUUGUGUUUACUUUUUAGAUAUAAUUUAUGAUAAAGUAUUAUGACAUCAUUUGAUCCAUAUAACUAACCUUAAUAGUAGGAAAAAAGGAUUUUUGUUGCUGUAUGAUAUUUAUUAGUCACAAGAUCAAGUGGAGUUCACUAAGAGUUAACCUUUCUUCUUCCUUGCUGUUUCCUAUUUGUGUUUUCAGUUGUGGUACACACUUUCAAAGACUUUGGCUGAGGAUGCUGCCUGGAAAUUUGUAAAUGAAAACAAAAUUGACAUGGUUGUUCUUAACCCGUCACUGGUGUCCGGACCUCUCUUACAACCAGAGGUUAAUUAUAGUGUUGAGCGAAUUUUAAACCUAAUUAAUGGUAAUUUUUAUUUACUCGUGAAAUUAUGCUGCAUGAGACUUCUUUUAUCUGCUAUGCCUGCAUCUAGAUUGCAUGAUGCGUUCCAAUUCCAAGUGCUCUAAUUUUUCUGUACCAAGUGAAUAGAAACAGAAACAGAAAAUAUGGAAUGAAAAAUGAAAUACUGUAAGAAAUGGAGGGUACAAUAAUUCACAACUAAAUUUUUAGUUAAACUUUAUUCUCUAGGUUAAUGGUAAUUUUUAUCUACUCGCGAACUGAUGCUGCAUGAAACUUCUAUUAUCUGUUUUGCCUGCAUAUUUGAAUGGUAAUUUCAAGAAUUAUUUGAACUUCUUGAUGCAGGUGUCCCAUUUCCAAAUUCGUCUAUGGGAUGGGUCGAUGUGAAAGAUGUUGCUAAAGCACAUAUUCAAGCAUAUGAGAUUGCUUCCGCUAGUGGAAGAUAUUGUUUGGUCGAGAGAGUGGUACACUACUCUGAACUUGCUAGGAUUUUAGGUGAUCUGUACCCAACAAUACAAAUUUCAAACAGGUAAGUUUCAUUUCUAUAACUUUGGCUUCUUAUUUGAAAGCUCCACUCAAGCUGAAAACUCAGCAUAGAAAUUGAUUUCCUGAUAUUUGUUCAAUAUAUGCCAAAACUGAAAUUUAGGGAACAAGUAUAAAAAUAUUCAGCACAUGAUAUCUCAAUGAAUGAAUGCAAAAUCAACUUUUAUUUAAAUCAUGUAGUAAAAAUAGAUUCCUUUAGUGCAAGCCUUAAUCAUUAUCUUCUCCGUUAAUAGUUUUAAUUCCUAAUAAUAUGUUCAUCUUGUCUACUAUGUUAACAGGUGUGAGGACAAUGGACCUUAUGUGCCUACAUAUCAAUAUUCCCAAGAAAAGGCCAAGAGUUUAGGAAUCGAGUUUACUCCUUUAGAAAUAAGCAUCAAGGGAACUGUGGAAAGCUUUAGAGAAAAGAAAAUCGUCAACUUUUAAUCUGUGUUAUCCUCUUGAUGAAUAAAUUCAUGUAACUAAAUUUGCAUCAUUGAACAACAUUUUCAUAUGUACUGUUUGUUGACAAUAAGCCUUAUAUUGUGAGACAUAAGUGAAAUCAUUCACCUUAAAACUUCAAGUUACUGUAAAUGUAAAUGAAGGGACUGAAUAAUAUUGAUAUUGAAUAGAUUCAACUGGGGAAUAUUAUGAAUGAGAGUCUCAUUUGGUACAAGGUACACUGGAGCAACAACGGUGGCCGGACCUCUCUUACAACCAGAGGUUAAUUCUAGUGCUGAGCUAAUUUUAGACCUAUGUAAUGGUAAUUUUUAUUUACUGAUAUUUGUUCCAUAUAUGCCAAAACUGAAAUUAAGGGAACAAGUGAUAAAAAUAUUCA
rnacentral:lncRNA from 1 species